UUAUGGCUCAGAACGAACGCUGGUAGCGUGGAUUAGGCAUGCAAGUCGGACGGGAUCGGCAGGUUAGCAAUAAUCGGCCGUGAGAGUGGCGGACUGGGGAGGAACACGUGAGCAACUUGCCCGCAGGACGGGGAAAACCGUUGGAAACGACGGCUAAUACCGGAUGCGGCGCCUUGGGGACAUCCCCGGGGCGCCAAAGGGGGGCCCUAAAGGCUCCCGCCCGCGGAGAGGCUCGCGCACCAUCAGCUUGUUGGCGGGGUAACGGCCCACCAAGGCCUACGGUUAGCUGGUCUGAGAGGAUGACCAGCCCCACUGGGACUGAGACACUGCCCAGACUCCUACGGGAGGCUGCAGUCGAGGAUCAUUUGCAAUGGGCGAAAGCCUGACAAUGCGACGCUGCGUGGAGGAUGAAGGCCUUCGGGUUGUAAACUCCUGUCAUGGGGGAACAGGCGAGGGGACCCAACACGUCCCUUAGUUGAGUGUACCCCAAGAGGAAGGGACGGCUAACUCUGUGCCAGCCGCCGC
rnacentral:rRNA from 1 species